rnacentral:rRNA from 1 species
AGUGAAGCGGCAAAAGCUCAAAUUUGAAAUCUGGCGUCUUUGGCGUCCGAGUUGUAAUUUGAAGAAGGUAUCUUUGGGCCCGGCUCUUGUCUAUGUUCCUUGGAACAGGACGUCACAGAGGGUGAGAAUCCCGUGCGAUGAGAUGACCCGGGUCUGUGUAAAGUUCCUUCGACGAGUCGAGUUGUUUGGGAAUGCAGCUCUAAGUGGGUGGUAAAUUCCAUCUAAAGCUAAAUAUUGGCGAGAGACCGAUAGCGAACAAGUACAGUGAUGGAAAGAUGAAAAGAACUUUGAAAAGAGAGUGAAAAAGUACGUGAAAUUGUUGAAAGGGAAGGGCUUGAGAUCAGACUUGGUAUUUUGCAUGCUGCUCUCUCGGGGGCGGCCGCUGCGGUUUACCGGGCCAGCAUCGGUUUGGAGCGGCGGGAUAAUGGCGGAGGAAUGUGGCACGGCUUCUGCUGUGUGUUAUAGCCUCUGAC